AUGAACGCUGGCGGCGUGCCUAAUACAUGCAAGUCGAGCGAACGGACGAGAAGCUUGCUUCUCUGAUGUUAGCGGCGAACGGGUGAGUAACACGUGGAUAACCUACCUAUAAGACUGGGAUAACUUCGGGAAACCGGAGCUAAUACCGGAUAAUAUUUUGAACCGCAUGGUUCAAAAGUGAAAGACGGUCUUGCUGUCACUUAUAGAUGGAUCCGCGCUGCAUUAGCUAGUUGGUAAGGUAACGGCUUACCAAGGCAACGAUGCAUAGCCGACCUGAGAGGGUGAUCGGCCACACUGGAACUGGGACACGGUCCAGACUCCUACGGGAGGCAGCAGUAGGGAAUCUUCCGCAAUGGGCGAAAGCCUGACGGAGCAACGCCGCGUGAGUGAUGAAGGUCUUCGGAUCGUAAAACUCUGUUAUUAGGGAAGAACAUAUGUGUAAGUAACUGUGCACAUCUUGACGGUACCUAAUCAGAAAGCCACGGCUAACUACGUG
rnacentral:rRNA from 1 species